GGGGAUGUAUGGGGGCUGGUGCCUCCCGCAGUCUUCAAAACUGUUUGCGGGGCGCUGCUGAGGCGUCCUGGGUGGGUUCGAUUCCCAUCCAUCCCCGCCA
rnacentral:tRNA from 2 species